rnacentral:misc_RNA from 1 species
GAUGAAGAACGUAGCGAAAUGCGAUAAGUAAUGUGAAUUGCAGAAUUCAGUGAAUCAUCGAAUCUUUGAACGCACCUUGCACCCUUUGGCAUUCCGAAGGGUAUGCUCGUUUGAGUGUCAUUGUACUCUCACACUCUCCGAUCCUAUGGAUUCGGGGAGCGGUGGACUUGGGUGUUGCUGCCUUUCCUUGUGGCUCACCUCAAAUGUGUCAGUGCACCUCUUGGUUGGACAUAGUACGGCGUGAUAAGUGUCUUCGCCGGCACCUCGCAAGAGGGUGGCCGAUCGGGAGCUCUGUGCUUUCAAACCGUCUUCGGACAAUUUCUGACAACUUGACCUCAAAUCGAGUAGGACUACCCGCUGAACUUAAGCAUAUCAAUAAGCUGAGGA